AAGCACUCGGAGAUGUCCCUCUUCUCCAGAGUCCACAGUUCCCUUUGCUUUCAUAAUAUUUCCCCUAGUUGAGGAUGGUCUUGGCCUCCAUAGGUAUUAACUUUCCACUAGAUCCAUUAGUUGUACAGAUUAUGUUAGUCACCUCUUAUGUCGAUGCCGGCCAUCAUCAGCAGCUUCUUGGGCACAGGGGCGGAGACGAUGCCGGUGCCUCUGGGGGCAGGGAUGAGGCGCACCAGCACAGAGCCGCAGCGGCCAGUCACCUUGCAAGGAACCGUGUGGGGCUUGCCGAUCUUGUUCCCCCAGUAGCCUCUUCGCACGGGGACGAUGGACAGCUUGGCCAGGAUGAUGGCCCCACGGAUGGCAGUGGCUACUUCCUUGGAGCACUUGACACCCAGACCGACAUGUCCGUUGUAAUCCCCAAUAGCAACAAACGCCUUGAACCUGGUCCGCUGGCCAGCACGGGUCUGCUUUUGCACAGGCAUAAUCUUCAAAACCUCAUCCUUGAGGGAUGCUCCCAGGAAAAAGUCAAUAAUCUCAGACUCUUUGAUGGGCAGAGAGAAAAGGUAGAUCUCCUCCAGAGACAGAUUCCUAAUGGGAAAAAUAAUUGCAUCUGCUUCUGCCUGUGGCCACUUCUCUUAUAA
rnacentral:lncRNA from 1 species